AAUAUUGGACAAUGGGCGAAAGCCUGAUCCAGCCAUGCCGCGUGGGUGAAGAAGGCNUUCGGGUUGUAAAGCCCUUUUGUUGGGGAAGAAAUCCUGCUGGCUAAUACCCGGCGGGGAUGACGGUACCCAAAGAAUAAGCACCGGCUAACUUCGUGCCAGCAGCCGCGGUAAUACGAAGGGUGCAAGCGUUACUCGGAAUUACUGGGCGUAAAGCGUGCGUAGGUGGUGGCUUAAGUCCGUUGUGAAAGCCCUGGGCUCAACCUGGGAAUUGCAGUGGAUACUGGGUCACUAGAGUGUGGUAGAGGGUGGCGGAAUUCCCGGUGUAGCAGUGAAAUGCGUAGAGAUCGGGAGGAACACCCGUGGCGAAGGCGGCCACCUGGGCCAACACUGACACUGAGGCACGAAAGCGUGGGGAGCAAACAGGAUUAGAUACCCUGGUAGUCCACGCCCUAAACGAUGCGAACUGGAUGUUGGGUUCAAUUUGGGACUCAGUAUCGAAGCUAACGCGUUAAGUUCGCCGCCUGGAGACGCCAG
rnacentral:rRNA from 1 species